CCUCAUGGAAAAUGCCACUGGGACAACAUCAAGCUUCGAAACCCUUGUGUUUUCUGGCCAGGGAUAAAGGGNNNNNNNNCUCCUACACUGAUUUCCGGCCCCCUAGUUUCUCAUUGUUCUGAAAAAGUUUGUAAUUUAAUUGCUAAACAUGAGAAAUGUGAUUAGUAAUGUUUGGCUCCUCUGGUUGAUUCUGUAGAAAGACUUUUUCACACAUUGACAUCAAGCACCUGCACACAUGUUGGGCGGUGGUCUGCUAACAGCCCAGAGCCUUGGUCUGCCUCCAUGCCAGGCUGCAGUGUCAGAGCCCGCUCCUUCCUGCUACACUCCAACAUUCCUCAUAGCUGGAAGAAGUUAUCUGCAGGCCAGCCGAGAAGACAACAUCGCUCCUCUCCUGCCUCCGUGGAAUGUGCCCUGCUCCGUAGCAAUGCUGUCAUCAAAUAUGGGCACAAUCUGAAGUGCUGCGGGUUAGAACUUCAACAGAUGAACUGGGGGAUGACACCCAAUUCAGCCUGUAGCAACAGCAGUUUCAACGGGGGUGCCUCGUCUCCAGAGGCAGCGCUUGGAGUGGAAGCAGCCACGUGUAACAGCAGCUGCCAAAUCACGUGGAAGGGUGGGUCUUUUAUCUGCAUGUUUUCCUUUAAGCCUGCUGUCUUCAUCAAUCAAACUCUUAUUCAACACUAA
rnacentral:lncRNA from 1 species